CGGCGGACGGGUGAGUAAUGCUUAGGAAUCUGCCUAUUAGUGGGGGACAACAUUCCGAAAGGAAUGCUAAUACCGCAUACGCCCUACGGGGGAAAGCAGGGGAUCUUCGGACCUUGCGCUAAUAGAUGAGCCUAAGUCAGAUUAGCUAGUUGGUGGGGUAAAGGCCUACCAAGGCGACGAUCUGUAGCGGGUCUGAGAGGAUGAUCCGCCACACUGGGACUGAGACACGGCCCAG
rnacentral:rRNA from 1 species